rnacentral:misc_RNA from 1 species
GCCGCACUUUCAAAUAAAGUCGCUAGGAUCAGCGGAGAUCCCAAAAAUUUAACCAACAUUUGCUAAGGAGGCUGCCUUGUUCAAGUUCAAGUCGCCAUCGCCAGGAGCCUGCAGAGUGACAGCUCGGCUGUGUAGCGUGUGAAGAUGGACGAGUCGGCUCUCCUGUACCGUGCCGUCGAGCCGGACGGGACAGACGACACCCGUCGGGUCGUGCUGCGGCUGCCCGAGGGAUGCGACACCGCUGAAGGUGUCAUCAUGCAGAUCGAAGGUGACAAGAUUCGCAUCAUUGCGCAAGGCGACGAGGUGGGUGAGGCGCCGCUCAGUCUCGCCAUGGAGUCCAUCAUAGAGAGCGCUUCGGACACCGUCGGUGAGGACGCCGCGCCUGCUCUGACUGGCUCUGAGCAGCACCGUGAGCAGGAUCAGCAGCAGCACGGAGAACAGGCUGACCUUCAGCCGGACGUAGACUGCGUAGAGGAAAUGGAGGAGCCCUGUGACGCGGCCUGUUUCGUGUGCUCGGGCCCGUGCGGCCGCCCGACUCCUCUGCUGCUGUGUCGGACGGCUGGCAGCGGCGUGGCGCUGGCCGAGAGACUGGCCGCCCUGCUGCCGGUGCGGCUUCACUGCAGCGCUACGGACUGUGUGUGCGACGGCUGUCGGCAACUGAUUGAACAGGCCGACCUGCACCACACCCAACUGAAGGCGGUGGAGCUGCGCGUGCGUCAGCUGUACCGGCUCGAGGAGCGACUGGAGGAGGAGGAGCGGCGUCAGGAGCAGGAGCGCGCGGCCGCCGCGCACCGCCAGGAGCUGCUGGAGCGUCGCCGUCGGGUGGAGCGGUCCCGCCAGCAGGCACAGGAGGCGGACGACGAGCGGUUAAGGCGGCAGAUCGAGCGGCGGCUGAGCAGGGCCGACCGGCGGUCACCAGUCGCCGCCGAUGAGUCCGGUGCUGAGCGGCAGAGGAGGGCCGCAGAUGAGCCGCCACCACCGCCGCCGCCGCCCCCACGCGCCGGAGAUGACCCGACGGACGAGGAUUGGACGCCGGCCAAGCAUUACGCGGACGGUCGGCGUCGCCAGGCUCGCCGCUCGUGGCAGCCGCCGGAGCGGUGCGCACGGGAUCAGCAGGAGGAGACGACGCCGGGCGAUACCACCGAUGAUGCCGCGGCCGUCGCUGCCGGGGCGGCAGCGGCUGGCGCUGGCGUCACGGAGGAAGGGGAAAUAGGCGACCGCUCAGUCGCAGAGGAAACUUCUCAGUUUCAGACGAUGGUAGUAACGGCCGAUGACAGCACGACUGCGGCGGCGGAUGAGGAGGAGCAGGCGGCGGCCGUCUGCCGGGACCCGGACGGCGUUCAGACCACCACUAUCGAGUUUGUCUCCCUCAACUCACCCACCGGCCACCGCAGGGACAGGACCGCACUGCUGAGUGGGGGCGGUGUCAGGCGGCGGCGGAAACCGGCGGCCGUGCCGACAUUCUACUGUCGACGGUUGUGACAAGUCCUUCGAAAAUAGCAGUUCUCUGGUGGAGCACAUCACCACGCUGCACAAACGCCCCUGGUGCCGUCGGUGCCGGUGUGAGUUCGACUCGGCGCCGGAGCUGGCCAAGCACCGACGCCUCUGUCGCAGCCAGUGUAACCUGUGCGGCCUGAGAGUGGCUAACAUGGCGCAGCACAUCCGCACCAAACACCCCUCGCACGGAGAGGACGGCGGGCAGAGCGUCCGAGCGGCGGCAGAGGGCGCGGAGAGAGCCGCCGGACAGGGCUCCAGGCGGCGCCGUCAACCCCGACGAACGUCCCCGACACCAGACGUCGCCAGUGACGCCACCCCGACCGUCAUCGAGUACCGCGACGUCAAGACACUGAGGGAGCAAGUGAAGCACGUCAAGACGCCCCGAAUCAGUCUCAAGUACCGCCGCUCGGUGCUGGAAAACCUGGAGAGGAUCCACCGUCUGACUGUAACCGACCGUGCAGCGACGUCGACAGAGGAGGCACCGGCCGGCGCCCGCAACGAGCGGCCCCACGCGUGCCAGCGCUGUGGCGAGCAACUGGGCUCGCUCCAGGAGCAGAUUGUGCACCUGCACACGGUGCACAAGGGCAAGAGCUGGUGCAAACGGUGCCGGACCGAGUUUCCCGACAAACGGUCCCACCUGGAGCACCGCGCCCGGUGUCGGCGCACCAACGGCACGUGUCACUUGUGCGGCAAGGACGUCAAAAACCUGAAGAUGCACUACCGAAGAACGCACGACUCCGACUGGGGGCGGUCAGAGGCGCUGGUGGAUGUGGACGGAAAACUG